GUACGUCACAGGUUCUGCCCGCGCUCAAGGGGAGGGAUUCCUCGGAGGCAUGAAUACCUGGUGGCAAGAUUCAUGGGGCCAUUUAGAGUCUGUCCACCACGGAGGUCAGUAAACGUCAGUGAACUCAGAGAAAGGCAUCACCAAAACACGUACUGAUUUUGAGGGAAGAGAUACCAGAGGAGUCAUCCUGUUAGGUGCUAAGGGUGCGCGCUGCAGGGCGGUCCAGGAAACACACAGUAAAAAUGCCAUGGGCCCUCCGGCCCCACCCCACACAGCUCUCCAGGAGAUUCCAGCACUCGGAACACACAGAGAAACAUCGGAAGAUCUCCCAGGGAGAUGUCUAGAUUAGAUUUGAAGGAAGCACAGGAUUUACAGGAUACAGGACGGCUGCCCUACUGUUACCCCUCCCCGAGGCCACCCCUCCUCCAGCCGGGAUUGCCCUGCUCCGAGCCCCUUCUCCCAGGCUGCUGUGCCACAGCACCCGCUUUGGAAAGGUUCUCGAGCCCAGGUCUCCCUUCCUGAACUUCAGACGAGAUCGGGCGCGUUCAGGGUGGUAUGGCCGUAGACUCCCUUCCUGAACUUCAGAUGUCCAAGCUCCUGUUUUGUUUUGUUCCUCAUGGGGAAGGAAAGACAGGGUGACUCCCGGAGGAGAGAGAAGAGGGAGAAGUGGAGAGGGGUGAGAAUAAUAAACCUGCACAUCUGUAAAGCCCAGGCCACUUGGCAAAAGGAUUUUAUCCACAUUAUUUUAGAGAGGAGAAGAGGCAUUCCUACCUUGGGGCACUGAAACUACAGGGCAGGGUGAUUCCCCCGUGCGGGCCUGCCCAGGCAGCCCCACCGGCCGGGCGCAGGAAGGAGCCUGCAGAAGCUGUCUGCUGCGGGUCGGAUCGUGGGGACGCUCUGCUCUGGGGAGGCUGCAAGGGUCCCGAGCCCCAGGCCUCCCUCCACUCCUCAGCCUCCCACCUCAGCAACCAGAUAACACCCAGACAGAUGCAAGGCUGCAGUGUGAUUCCCAAGCCAGGAGACUGAGGGUCUGAAGUCCCGGCUUCUGCUGGGCCAUGGGAAGCUUCUUGAAUGGAAAUCCCGGAGCCAGCCCCGAUAGGCACAGAGCAACGGGGAAAUGGCUCGGCCUGCCCACAUUUUUCUAGCCUGCGCCUCACGCCCCGCCUGAGCCGCAAGCAGACCGAUCUUUCUUUUUUUUUAAUUGUGGUAAAAUACACGUAACAUAAAAUUUACUACUUGAACCAUUUUUACGUAUCCGAUUCAGUGGCAUUAAGUACAUUCAUAGUAUCGAACAACCCUCACUGCCAUC